rfam:Streptomyces sp. H-KF8 tig00000016, whole genome shotgun sequence.
CUUCACCGACCCCAGGUAGAGGGGCCGGUCGGUGUCGCGGUCCUGUCCGUAGGUGGCGAGCAGGGCCUGGGCCUC